UUGAAUUUUAAUGAAGAGU
rnacentral:rRNA from 1 species